AUACGUAGGGUGCGAGCGUUGUCCGGAUUUACUGGGUGUAAAGGGCGUGUAGGCGGAGAUGCAAGUCAGGAGUGAAAUCUAGGGGCUCAACCCCUAAACUGCUUUUGAAACUGUAUCCCUUGAGUAUCGGAGAGGCAGGCGGAAUUCCUAGUGUAGCGGUGAAAUGCGUAGAUAUUAGGAGGAACACCAGUGGCGAAGGCGGCCUGCUGGACGACAACUGACGCUGAGGCGCGAAAGCGUGGGGAGCAAACAGGAUUAGAUCCCCUGGUAGUCCACGCUGUAAACGAUGAAUACUAGGUGUGGGGGGACUGACCCCCUCCGUGCCGCAGUUAACACAAUAAGUAUUCCGCCUGGGGAGUACGAUCGCAAGAUUGAAACUCAAAGGAAUUGACGGGG
rnacentral:rRNA from 1 species